AUUGAACGCUGGCGGAAGGGAUAACACAUGCAAGUCGAGCGGAUGAAGGGAGCUUGCUCCUGGAUUCAGCGGCGGACGGGUGAGUAAUGCCUAGGAAUCUGCCUGGUAGUGGGGGAUAACGUCCGGAAACGGGCGCUAAUACCGCAUACGUCCUGAGGGAGAAAGUGGGGGAUCUUCGGACCUCAUGCUAUCAGAUGAGCCUAGGUCGGAUUAGCUAGUUGGUGGGGUAAAGGCCUACCAAGGCGACGAUCCGUAACUGGUCUGAGAGGAUGAUCAGUCGCACUGGAACUGAGACACGGUCCAGACUCCUACGGGAGGCAGCAGUGGGGAAUAUUGGACAAUGGGCGAAAGCCUGAUCCAGCCAUGCCGCGUGUGUGAAGAAGGUCUUCGGAUUGUAAAGCACUUUAAGUUGGGAGGAAGGGCAGUAAGUUAAUACCUUGCUGUUUUGACGUUACCAACAGAAUAAGCACCGGCUAACUUCGUG
rnacentral:rRNA from 1 species